AUUGAGCGCUGGCGGCAUGCCUUACACAUGCAAGUCGAACGGCAGCACGGGAGCAAUCCUGGUGGCGAGUGGCGAACGGGUGGGUAAUGUAUCGGAACGUGCCCAGUCGUGGGGGAUAACGUAGCGAAAGCUACGCUAAUACCGCAUACGAUCUAUGGAUGAAAGCGGGGGAUCGCAAGACCUCGCGCGAUUGGAGCGGCCGAUAUCAGAUUAGGUAGUUGGUGGGGUAAAGGCCCACCAAGCCUGCGAUCUGUAGCUGGUCUGAGAGGACGACCAGCCACACUGGAAGUGAGACACGGUCGAGACUCCUACGGGAGGCAGCAGUGGGGAAUUUUGGACGAUGGGCGCAAGCCUGAUCCAGCAAUGCCGCGUGCAGGAUGAAGGCCUUCGGGUUGUAAACUGCUUUUGUACGGAACGAAACGGCUUUUUCUAAUACAGAGAGCUAAUGACGGUACCGUAAGAAUAAGCACCGGCUAACUACGUGCCAGCCGCCGCCGCAG
rnacentral:rRNA from 1 species